rnacentral:rRNA from 1 species
GACGAACGCUCGCGGCGUGCUUAACACAUGCAAGUCGAACGGUAAGGCCCUUCGGGGUACACGAGUGGCGAACGGGUGAGUAACACGUGGGUGAUCUGCCCUGCACUUCGGGAUAAGCCUGGGAAACUGGGUCUAAUACCGGACAGGACCACUGCCUGCAUGGGCGGUGGUGGAAAGCUUUUGCGGUGUGGGAUGGGCCCGCGGCCUAUCAGCUUGUUGGUGGGGUGAUGGCCUACCAAGGCGACGACGGGUAGCCGGCCUGAGAGGGUGACCGGCCACACUGGGACUGAGAUACGGCCCAGACUCCUACGGGAGGCAGCAGUGGGGAAUAUUGCACAAUGGGCGCAAGCCUGAUGCAGCGACGCCGCGUGAGGGAUGACGGCCUUCGGGUUGUAAACCUCUUUCAGCACCGACGAAGCGCAAGUGACGGUAGGUGCAGAAGAAGGACCGGCCAACUACGUGCCAGCCGCCGCCGUAA